rnacentral:rRNA from 1 species
AGUGAACGCUGGCGGUAGGCCUAACACAUGCAAGUCGAACGGCAGCACAGGAGAGCUUGCUCUCUGGGUGGCGAGUGGCGGACGGGUGAGGAAUACAUAGGAAUCUGUCCAGUCGUGGGGGAUAACGCAGGGAAACUUACGCUAAUAUCGCAUACGCGCUUUGGGUGAGAGAGGGGGAUCGCAUGACCCCUUGCGAGUGGGAGAGCGGAUGUCGGAUUAGCUAGUUGGCGGGGUAAUGGCCCACCAAGGCGACGAUCCGUAGCUGGUCUGAGAGGAUGAUCAGCCACACUGGAACUGAGACACGGUCCAGACUCCUACGGGAGGCAGCAGUGGGGAAUAUUGGACAAUGGGCGCAAGCCUGAUCCAGCCAUACCGCGUGGGUGAAGAAGGCCUUCGGGUUGUAAAGCCCUUUUGUUGGGAAAGAAAUCUUGCAGGCUAAUACCCUGGGAGGAUGACGGUACCCAAAGAAUAAGCACCGGCUAACUUCGUG